rnacentral:rRNA from 1 species
CCCGACUGCUAUUUGGGUGAGAAUAAGCCAUGCGAGUUGAAUGGGAUACCUAAAGUUCCCAUAGCAAACUGCUCAGUAACACAUGAUCAACUUACCCUAUAGAGAAAAAUGACCUCGGGAAACUGAGGAUAAUGUUUCAUAAUUGAAUCGGCUUGGAAAAGUUUUUCAAUGAAAAGGAUAAAAAAAAUGGUUUUUAUCUGCUAUAGGAUAGGAUCGUGGACGAUUAUGGUUGUUGGUGAGGUAACGGCUCACCAAGCCGAUAAUCGAUAGGGGCCGUGAGAGCGGGAGCCCCGAGAUGGGUACUGAGACAACGACCCAGGCCUUACGAGGCGCAGCAAGCGCGGGACCUCCGCAAUACACGAAAGUGUGACGGGGUUACCCAAAGUGUUCAAUUCUGAACUGUGGUAGGUGAGUAAUGUCCCCUACUAGAAAGGAGAGGGCAAGGCUGGUGCCAGCCGCCGCGGUAAAACCAGCUCUUCAAGUGGUCGGGAUAAUUAUUGGGCUUAAAGUGUCCGUAGCCGGUUUAGUAAGUUCCUGGUAAAAUCGGGUAGCUUAACUAUCUGUAUGCUAGGAAUACUGCUAUACUAGAGGGCGGGAGAGGUCUGAGGUACUACAGGGGUAGGGGUGAAAUCUUAUAAUCCUUGUAGGACCACCAGUGGCGAAGGCGUCAGACUGGAACGCGCCUGACGGUGAGGGACGAAAGCCAGGGGAGCGAACCGGAUUAGAUACCCGGGUAGUCCUGGCCGUAAACGAUGCAUACUAGGUGAUGGUACGGCCAUGAGCCGUAACAGUGCCGUAGGGAAACCGUUAAGUGUGCCGCCUGGGAAGUACGGUCGCAAGGCUAAAACUUAAAGGAAUUGGCGGGGGAGCACCACAAGGGGUGAAGCCUGCGGUUC